CGUAGCACUUGGGCGGAAUACUACAGACGUAUGGGGAUCUCAGGCAUACCUCAGGCUGGAAGAUCUCAAUGCUCCCAAAAUGGUCUGAUCCAAGACAAAGUCUAAUUGCUGCCUCUUGUCUGAGCUCUGGGGAACUGUGUUUUCAGCAAUCCUUUCCUCAGGAGGUAUUCUGUGAAUGAGCUGCAGGCUUCACAAAGAUGUUGUUCAGUGUUACUUGGAGCUGGUCAAAUGAAGGGUGGAGGCCUUCCUUAAGAAUUGAAGCUGGCUGCAAUGUUUAACAAUUACAGCUGUGAUUCCAAUGAUGAGUUACUGGAGAGACAGUAACAAUUGGUGGAGACAACUAAUCUGUUUCUA